rnacentral:rRNA from 1 species
UACGGAGGGGGCGAGCGUUAUUCGGAAUUAUUGGGCGUAAAGGGCGCGUAGGCGGCCUGAUAAGUCAACGGUGAAAUCCCUCGGCUCAACUGAGGAAUUGCCUUUGAAACUGUCAGGCUUGAGGCCGGGAGGGGGUGGCGGAAUUCCCAGUGUAGCGGUGAAAUGCGUAGAUAUUGGGAGGAACACCAGUGGCGAAGGCGGCCACCUGGACCGGUUCUGACGCUGAUGCGCGAAAGCGUGGGGAGCAAACAGG